CAUGUACUUCCUCCGUCCGAAAAAACUUGUCAUCAAAAUGAACAAAAAGGAAUGUAUCUAGAACUAAAAUACAUCUAGAUACAUCCCCUUUUAUUCAUUUUGAUGACAAGUAUUUUUGGACGAAGGGAGUACAAG
rnacentral:pre_miRNA from 1 species